rnacentral:rRNA from 1 species
GAGGCAUGCUGUCUCAGAUUAGCCAUGCAUGUGUAAGUAUAAGCGAUUGUACUGUGAGACUGCGAACGGCUCAUUAUAUCAGUAAUAAUUUCUUCGGUAGUUUCUUUUAUAUGGAUACCUGCAGUAAUUCUGGAAAUAAUACAUGCUGUAAGAGCCCUGUAUGGGGCUGCACUUAUUAGAUUGAAGCCGAUUUUAUUGGUGAAUCAUGAUAAUUGAGCAGAUUGACUUUUUUGGUCGAUGAAUCGUUUGAGUUUCUGCCCCAUCAGUUGUCGACGGUAGUGUAUUGGACUACGGUGACUAUAACGGGGGACGGAAAGUUAGGGCUCGACUCCGGAAAGGGAGCCUGAAAAACGGCUACCAUAUCCAAGGAUAGCAGCAGGCGCGUAAAUUACCCACUGGGGACUCCACGAGGUAGUGACAAGAAAUAUCGAUGCGAAGCGGGUAUGCGUUUUGCUAUCGGAAUGAAAGCAAUGUAAAACCCUCAUCGAGGAUCAACUGGAGGGCAAGUCUGGUGCCAGCAGCCGCGGUAAUUCCAGCUCCAAAAGCAUAUGCUAAAGUUGUUGCAGUUAAAAAGCUCGUAGUUGAAUUUCUGGUCAUGCAGCGCACACGCUGACUUCAGUCCAUGAAUGCGGUAUCGCAUGCCGCCUCUGAUGAUAGUCCGUGCUGGCCAUCUUUUUCUUGCCUUUUUCGGGAAGAAAUCUUUCACUGUAACCAAGGCAAAUUGUUCAAGGCAGGCGGAAUGACCGGAAUGUUUAUUAUGGGAUGAUAAGAUAGGACUGGGGGUGCUAUUUUGUUGGGUUUGCACCCCUGGAUUAUGGUUAUUAGGAACAGUUGGGGUAUUUCGUAUUAGAGAGCUAGAGGUGAAAUCUUGGAAUUCCGAAAGCACGACUAAGCGAGGCAUUACCAGACAUGUUCUCAUUAUACAGACGAAAUCUGGGAUCGAGAUGAGUUUAGAUACACUCGUAGUCUAGACCUGUAAGAUGCCCACCCUGCAUGUUGAGGCGUUAUUUAUGGGCUCCACCAGCAGCACAUGGGAAAUCAAAGCUUUUGGAUUCCGGGGAGAUAAUGGUCGCCAAGGCUGAAACUUAAAGGAAUGGACGGAAGGGCCCCCCCAGGAGUGGACCUUGCGCUUAAAUGUGACUCACACCGGGAAAACUUACCCAGGCCCAGCAAUAGGUAGGAUUGACGGAUUGGAAGUUUUUCCAGGAUUUUAGGGGGGGGGGGCCAGGCCCGUUUUUAGUUGGGGGAGGGAUUUUUUGGGUUAAUUCCGUUAACGAAGGGACCCUGGCCCUAUUAAAAAGUGGGGGGUAGGGCAACAAAGUCGGUUUUAACUUUUUAAAGGGACAUUUCCGGUUUACGGGCAGGAAGUUGGAGGCAAAAACAGGUUUGGGAUGCCCUUAGAUUUUUUGGGCCCCCCCCCCGUUCCCCUGAUGGGUUCAUCGGGUUUUAAUUUUAAUUUUUGGAAUUGAGUGCUUGGUCGGAAGGCCUGGCUAAUCCUUGGAACGCUCAUCGUGCUGGGGCUAGAUUUUUGCAAUUAUUAAUCUCCAACGAGGAAUUCCUAGUAAACGCAAGUCAUCAGCUUGCAUUGAAUACGUCCCUGCCCUUUGUACACACCGCCCGUCGCACCUACCGAUUGAACGGUCCGAUGAAACCAUGGGAUGUUUCUGUUUGGAUUGAUUUUUGGACAGAGGCAGAACUCGGGUGAAUCCUUAUGUAGAGAACAUUC